CCUCAUUCCCACUCACCUCUCGAUUGGAGCCUAGAGCAGUUCUCCACCCAGAUCCCGUCUCUCACCCGUUGUGGCAGCGACCGACAGCACUCGGCAAGUAACGGUGCUAGCAAAGUACGGCGACUGGUGGUGGCAGAAAACGGCGAGUGGCUACGCAUGCUGUUGUGGGAGCGGCGGCAGCAUGGGCUGAUGGGCGAGCGGGGGUGUAAAGGAGGCGAGAGAUCCACAUCUCUAGCUGAACAGCCGCUCGAGGAAAGGUCUUCUCCCUACCCAGCCAGAAGUUUGAUCCUUCCGAUCGAAGAGGUACCGUAUCAGUUUCCAUUUGCAAGACGUAUGGUUGGAAAAGGAUUGAAGUACUGGUGUAACACUAAUAAUUCUUACUAAGAUGUGAUUUCUAUGUCAAUGUGUAGAUGAUUCCUGAACAAUUUCUUAGGUAUUGGUAAGUCAUAUUGGAGAUAAAUUGAGUUGUGAUAAUGCUAUGAUACUAAUGAUGACAAUGGUACCUAUGGAAAUGUGGGAGAUUAUAUAUAUGGCGAUGGGCAUUACGAUCAAGACGACGAUAAUGGUGAUGAGUCUGAUGAUCUUCGAGUCAUGCAACCAAGUGAAGUUAUGAAGUUCAUGGACAAUUUAGCUUAUGCACAUUGUUUGGACCAUUAUAUCUUAGUCACUAUUUUGUUUUUCAUUUGACACUUCUUAGAUGCGUCAGUAUGGCCAAUGUAAUAUUGAUUCAACUCAUUAGACAUGUUAUACUUCUUGUUGUUAUGCUAAAUAAAAUAUAUUUUCUUUGAUCA